rnacentral:rRNA from 1 species
UGGGGAAUUUUGCGCAAUGGGGGAAACCCUGACGCAGCGACGCCGCGUGGAGGAUGAAGGUCUUCGGAUUGUAAACUUCUUUUGUUGGGGACAAUAGUGAUGGUACCCGACGAAUAAGCCACGGCUAACUCUGUGCCAGCAGCCGCGGUAAGACAGAGGUGGCAAGCGUUGUUCGGAAUUACUGGGCUUAAAGGGCGCGUAGGUGGUGAUAUAAGUCCGAGGUGGAAGGCUAAGGCUUAACCUUGGGAUUGCCUUGGAAACUAUAUUACUUGAGUCAGACAGGGGAUGGCGGAAUUCCUGGUGUAGCGGUGAAAUGCGUAGAUAUCAGGAGGAAGGCCGGUGGCGAAGGCGGCCAUCUGGGUCUGAACUGACACUGAGGCGCGAAAGCGUGGGGAGCAAA